UAUGUAUGUAUGUAUAUAUAUAUAUAUUAGUGUUUACAGUCAGAAUUAUGAAAUAGGAUCUUAAAUAGAGAUGUUCUGUCCUGGAAGACCAUCUCCUUCAGAGUUAACUCUUGUGAGUUAAGUGUUGUUCUCCUAGCAUGAGGUAAUAAUUAAUAGGAAUGAAUGUUCUUUGUUUGUGUAUUUCAGAUAUUCAGUAUGUUUGAUGUCCAUGUGAUGUUUUUGUGUGUUUUUUUUAUGUAUGGCAUAUUAUUUAGUUUGGCUGCGUGUGUAUGAUAGCUUUGUUACCUUGAAAUAGAAAAUGGUUUUGGAACUAGUUGUAGUUCCAUGUGUUUGUUUAGGGCCAGAAAAGAAAGAAAUGAAGUGAUAUAUCUUCAAAUCUGCUUAGAUGUUGCUCAGCCUGAAAUAAAAAUGCUUCUGCAUUUCAUCUCUUGUUAGUGUGUUCCUUCCUGCAGAAAGCCUGUUAGUUACCCCUUCAGUUAAACCAGAUUAAUCUCCUGGCACCUUCCAGAGAAACACUACCUUGAAACAACCUGCUGCUGCCUUUCCUCUUAGCUGCCAGAUAUGAGAAAAUGAUCUUGUUAAUCUUCUGUUUGUUCUGGCUAGUCUCUGCCUGGAGUUGCUGACCACAAGCCAUUGAGUCUGACAGUCUGGACAGUUUUCAGUUCAUCUUGCUCUCCAUUUAUUUAGUCAAUACUUUCAUUUCAUCCAUAAAGAUGUCAUGGGAAGACAGUGUUGAAAGCCCUUCUGAAGUAAAGAUUAACCAUGUCUUGUCCACCAGGUUCCUCCUUUCAUGGUAGAAUUCCAUCAGGUUGGUCAGGAGUGAUUUCUCACUUGCAUGUCUGUGCUGAAUGCUUUUGAUUGUCUUGUUAUUUUUUGUGUGUUUUGGGAAUGAUCUGUUGCUAUUUUGUUCAUCACCUCCUCAGGGAGAAAGGUAAGGCUGAGCAGCCUUUAGUUACCCAGAUGCUCCUGUUUGCCCUUUUUGGAAUUCCACUUGAGGUGUUCAGUCCUCAAAGAGGAUCCCAGCUAUAACCAUGUUGGCAAUGCCAGUUGUGCAGCCAGUUGUUGACCCACAAGAUCCAUCUAUUCUUCCUCAAGCCAUUGCUUUUCUCAUCAGUAUCAGUACGGACAAAAGGAUAAAUGCCUGCAGUGUCAGCAAGCUAGAGGCAGACUUAAAAGUAAUUAUCAUAGCUAAGUUAAUGAGUUUAUUGUUCCAUGCUGAAGACAUUUCAUCAACAUAAUGGUGAGUAUUAAUUUGAUAGUUUAAAGGCAACUGCACCAUUUAAACCAGGUUGAAAUGCUACCACAGUCUGCUUUGUUUAUUUUGAAAUUGGUUUAGAGCAUAACUGGAUUUGUUAUGACUCAGAAAAUACAGGACUACAUAAGCUUAAUUAUUUUGCAGCAGAGGGAAGGUAUCUACAGUGACACAUCUGUGAAUCUGUUUUUGAAAACAAGAGGAUGUGCAGUGCUGAUGUGGUGUGUUCUGUAAAUGUAACUUAGAUGCCUCUGAGCACUGCAGGGUUUUACUAAGUGGUAAUAAAUUCUAGGUGUGGAUACACUGAGGUUUUGGAGUGAAAUAUUAUUUAUGUAAGUGCUUACAGAAAGUAUUCUUAAUAUUUGAUAUGUGUAGUACUAGCAGCAUAAAUAUGCAGUUUAAGUAGCUCUUUCUUCUCUCUUCCACCUGUGCAUGGCUACCAGACUGUGCUUGAAGGUUCUGUUUGGGACCUGUGUUGCACUGUCAGUGUUACCUAUUCUCAGCCUGACGUUUGCAGCCUGGUGUGGGGAAAAAUAAUUAUUGCAAUGUAAUUGUGUCCUUUAAAUAGAUACCUAUGGCACUUGAGAUAACUGUUUCAGAAAUAUGCUUAGGGAGUUUUAAACUAAUGAGAAGACCUCUGUGAUUCCAGACUAAUAGUGAAUCGUGUGUGAACUUCACAGUAAUAAUAAAAAGGAACAGAGAAAAAUGCUUUAUCAGGUGUUUUGUGUAUCUACUCUAAAUACUACUGUAAUUAUCAAGCUGUAAGGAAUCAAGCGAAUUUAGACUGAAGAGCAGUCUUUCAUUGGAGAGCCACAGCUAUUCCUUUGCUCCAGUGAUAUUCUUGUGUCUUACUUCUGAUCACUUCGAACCUGUCUGCAAAAUAGUCUCCAGUUGAGAAAUUUGCCCUUUGCUCAUUGUGUGUAUAUAUAUGUAGGGAGAGACAGACGAAAAAGAUGAGUUAGGUAAAAGGUUCCAGCACAGAGAAGAAAUUUCAGUAUAGACUAUUGAACUUCUGGGAUCGAAGUUUGGAGAAGUGAGAGUAGUAUGGCACUCCCAGCAAUUGGUUUAGUGUGUUCUUAUGUUUGAAAAGUGACGUGAUGCAUUUAUAACUUGAUUUAUGGCACAGUGACAUGACUGCGUGAAAAAGUAGGGAAUAGGAGUUGAUGACGUGAAAAUGAAAAGUCCUUCAACUCCUGUGCUGAUGUUCUUGUAAAUGUUAACAAGGUGGCUUAACCGUCUGAUCACUUCAACAAACCAGCAGCAGCUCAGCACAUUUCUGUAUUGCUUCCUGUCUAGCUUCCAAGGUUUUGGGGACACACAGUUAGGAUUGUUCUUGUGUGCUUCUAUGGACUCAUCUAGAAGUGGAAAAAUGCCAGAAGUCAAGUUGGCUUCGCUAUGAGACGGGAUCAGCUCUUCAGGCCAAAUGAAAACAAAAAUAAUGAGGAGGAAGAAAUAAAUAAAGCAAAUCACAAACCAACAACCUGAAGGCUUCCAGAAUUCCACAAUUCAGGAUACCAAAUCCACACAUCAGGCUUCUGUUGUACUGAAAACUGUCGGUGUUGUUUGCAAUAGAGCAUUUUUCUGCUAGAUAACUUCUGCACCAACAAGGAGAAAAGAAGUAAUUAAAAAUACACAUGUAUCUUAGCAUCAAGGAAGCAGUGAGCUUAUUUUGAGCAUUUGUAUUCUUAGUGUGAAAUACUGGUGAACUUAUACAAACAGCAUACGAAGAUUCUCAGCUGUGCCAGAUGUGUUCACCUUCACUUUGCAGUGGGAUAUUACAACAGGAAAGUGUGUCCUUAUGAGAAUGAUCCCAGCACUGCUGCAUCAAUAGGGAGAGCUGCAAGGAGCAGACAGUGUCUUAAUGUUUUUAGCCUCUUUUUUCUUGUUCUCUGUAAGACACUGUUGUUAUGGUCUGGAAGAAACGCAGGCUUCUUCACGUUUUGCACCCUCAUGCUCAGUCCAAACAAACGGGGGAAGCGGCCGCAGCUUUCACUUCUGAGCUGGAGCAAAACAAGGCUGAUGUGUUCAAGGUCACGAAGGAAGCUGGUGGCUGAGCUGGAUAUGGGAAAUCAGCUUUCCUGCACCGCGGGCUGGAGCUGCAACUGUCCUCAGUGAGCCUUCCGCAGACACCACUGUAAUGAGUUGUGUGGCAGAUAUUGCUGGGACAAACAUAACUCGUCCUGUAUUCUUGGAAGCAUUUGGCUGUCUGUGUAGCACUCCAGGGGCUUUGAAAACUUUCCUGGGGGGAGGGAGGGGGGGCAUCCAGGCAUGUCUUCAGCCCCUUUGGCUUUCUUCAGCCCCAGAGAGAGCUUUGUGCCUGAGCGGUGAUGCAGAACAUCAGAUGGCCUGCUUGUGGCCUGGGGUUUUUCUUUUUGUGUGCGAUUGUUUUCUCUUUUAAAUAUAGAAGAAAGCAGUGCUUCUAAAAAGCAGCAGCUGUAUUUAUUGAGAGUUUUGACACACACCACUCUAGCCCUGCAGUGCCGGAGUAUUGAAUGAAGAUGUGGCAGCACUAUGGGUAAGAAAAAAAAAAAAAA